rnacentral:lncRNA from 1 species
GGUCGGUCUUGAUAUCGCCACGUGUUAACAUCUGAGAAGAUUCUGAUUUGACUAAUUUUAUCCAGAUCGUUGAGGAGUCCUAUAUAUAUAAAGUCACUUUCAUCUGAAUUUUAUUUUUGCAUUUAUUGCUUUCCUCUGCAAGAGAAGGUUUUGCUCCCUCAGUAUUAGGUGCUUCCGAGUUCUGUUCCUCGCAUCACCUUUGGCUCC